CUUCCAUUUUGCUUUAAUAUUCCAUAUCCUUUUUUGUAUUUUCUCUUAUUUUUUUGCUUUGCGUGUGUAGCACGAUGAAAUACUCUUGUAGGAGGUGGUGGGCACACAGAGAGGAUAUAACAAAGCAGUAGAGCAUUCUUUUUGUGUUGUGUGUUCCUUCUGGAAUUUAGGGGGAACAUAAAAAUCAUAUAUAAUUCUUUGCCCGAGAUUGAUGGACGUUUUUGUA
rnacentral:ribozyme from 1 species